rnacentral:rRNA from 1 species
GGGCCCGCACAAGCAGUGGAGCAUGUGGUUUAAUUCGAUGCAACGCGAAGAACCUUACCCAGGCUUGACAUAUAGAGGACCGCUCUAGAGAUAGAGUUUCCCGCAAGGGCCUCUAUACAGGUGCUGCAUGGCUGUCGUCAGCUCGUGCCGUGAGGUGUUGGGUUAAGUCCCGCAACGAGCGCAACCCUUGUCGUUAGUUACCAACACGUAAUGGUGGGGACUCUAACGAGACUGCCUAGGUUAACUAGGAGGAAGGUGAGGAUGACGUCAAGUCCGCAUGGCCUUUAUGUCUGGGGCUACACACGUGCUACAAUGGUCGGUACAGAAGGCAGCGAAGCCGAAAGGUGGAGCAAAUCCCUAAAACCGUGGCUCAGUUCAGAUCGUAGGCUGCAACUCGCCUACGUGAAGGCGGAAUCGCUAGUAAUCG